UCAGCGGAGGGAUUCACGCGUAUGCGGUCGCCACUUUAAGCUGGAAGACUACGAACGCGAUUCCGUGCUUGUGCGGCGCGAUGUGAAGAGGCAUCCCCUCAAAUCCGGCACACUGCCAUCUUUGUUCCUCUUCCUGGUGAAAAACAUCACACACUGCCCCAGAAAAGUCUUGGUACCUUCUGCUAGCCAGCUACGCAGGUGAACAUGACCCGGAAGGUGCUUGUUUCGGCCAAUACACAGAAAGCAGCUGCCUUCACCACAGAAUCCGCAGUGCAGACACAGUGUGGUGCUUCAUCACAUGAGCAGCAGUAGCAGCUUCAGCCGAUGUUACACUUCUAGUGUAACGUGAGAUAGGGUGAACCCCACGCCCUGCGCGGCCGGAGGGAAUCCCGCAUGCU